rnacentral:lncRNA from 1 species
GUGAGGCGCGAGGGUCCUGCUGACGGCUCAGCCCUUCUGCCACCCCAGACGUGGUUCUCACCUGGCCUCCUUGGCAGAUGGUGCCUUGGGUUUGCUGCCCACAACCCAGCGUGGCUCAUGGCUGUCCUGCAGCCAUAGUGUUGGCCAGACUUCUGGCCAUAGCCAGGGAGAUGCAUUGCUGCCCAUCCGGGCAUCUGAUGUCCCCUCUCUCCUCUCGCAGAGAGUACGUGGCCCGUGAUGGGGAGGAAGUUCUGGAGGACAGGAUGAGGCCACUGUCUCUAAGGCAGGGAGACCCUGCCUGCUCUGAGCAACACAUGGGCAGAGGAGUGUGGGCAUGGCCUCUCGGGCCCUUCCUGACCCUGUGUUGCCGUGGUCCAGCCUCAGCCCUCAAAGUGAGGCGGCCUACAGACAGAGCUUCCCUACAGACCAGGCCAGAAAGGCCAGAGGGGCUUCCUUCUGAGGGUGGUGGGGACAGACGACAUGUGGCCUCCCUCCAGAGCCUGCCCUGGCGGGGGUGGGCGGGGAGAGGUUCCCCAGCAACAAGCCCCCUUAUAUAAUCCAGCUCACAUCGCGUGGCGUGACUCCAGGUGCCUGUGGGAGGCAGUGCGGGGGUGAGCACCGGGGCGCAAGUGAGUCUCAGAGUUUCGCUCCGUGCUCCUCCCCCCCUUGCUAUAUGUCAGCGUCAUCCGGAGCCUGCCAGCCCGGUCACCCACUUGCUUAUUAGAAUACAUUAGCUGACAAUGUGGAUUUAAAUAACUCGGGCAGGUGACAGCCUGAAGCGCACCCAGCGUAGCUGGGCUCUCCUGCACUGGCCCAGGUGAGGCUGGGGUCUGGGGCCGGAGGAAGGACACAUGUGGCGCCGGGACGAACUGGCCGAGCUGGCCGCUUCAGCCACACGUCUGGAGCUGGGCAGGGUGGAGGGGGAGGAGGGACACGGGUGCCCACAACGCAGCACCACCCCGGGCAGGAGUGGGAGCCCGCCCCAGUCCCAGGCCCACUCGCCAUCUUCUGAACCCAGCAUGGGGUGAGAGUGGCCAGUGACUGGGUGAGCAGGAAGACGGACCUGUGUGAGGACACUGAGCACUGGCCCCUCCUGGCACUGGGGGCCGUACUCGGCUCAACCUCCCUGAGCAAAGACGAAGAAAGACGAACUUUGCUUAACGCUCAGUAUAAUUAGUCUUCAUUUACCGCCUGAAACGUUGUCUUUGUUUUCUUAUCACUCUGCUUCUUAAAUGACUUAAACUGCCUUGAAAGUGAUCUGAAAGGUAUUUCUGGAUGGGAGCGGAGGGAAUCUGUUCUUCAGAAUCUGAAAUUGGAGGACACCUGGAAAACAAGACCUCAGUGUGUUCCCGCAGGUCCCUGCAGACAGGAGACAGCAGAGCUGUACCUGCGGGUGCCGCUUCGCAUGCCGUCAGGGAGGACCCAGACGUCUCCAUGCUGCUGGGCGCCGCGCAGAUGGCUUCCCUGCCCGGGGCUGGCUGCUUCUAAUUUCAGCUGCUGGAGGCUCCGCGCUCUCACUCUUGCUCGCGCUCUCUCUCUCUCUCUUUUAUUCCAUGUUUAUUUAAAGCCAGAUUUUGAAAUGUUGUCUUCAGCCCUAAAAUCUCACUUUAUCUUCUUGCAGCAGAUCCUAUAAAACCCCACUUAGGUGCCUAGAGGGUGGGGGACUUCGAGGACAGAGUUUCCCUGGCCCGCUGCCUGACACUGUCUCCGUAAACAUUCCGAUGACUGGUCAGUGUUUUCCCAGUGGAGCAGCCCAGUGUCACGUCCACCCAGACGGAAUACAGACGAGCCGGGUGGACGUCGUGAGUCCAGAUACACGAGAGAGAGCAUGGCCUCCCCAGUGACAUGCAGGAAGCACGCCUGCCCCGGUGCUCGGAGUUGAACUUAGGCAGGGGAGUCUGAGGCUGCCCUGCCGUCUCCUGUCUGGGGUCGUGAUGCAGUGGGGCCUGUCAUGAGUGGUCCAGACGUGUACCCCCGGAGGUGGAACAGUGACAGCCUCAGGUGCCCUGGUGCCUCCUCCUUCCCGGCUCUUCCUGGCACUCUGCUUCCUUCUCCUAACCUGAGAGCCACACGCUAUUUCUUCUUGUCCAUCUAGAAACCAAGGACAUCUGGAAGGGGUCUUCCACCUUAGACCCUAACAGGGGAAGUGCAACGCAGCUUUCUGGCCGCGCUGACCCGACAGGGCUGCUCCGAUGGGGAAGCGUGGCCACUCGCACAGAUGUUCAUUUGCACAGCAUCAGACCACACAGCAGCUGGGGCCCUUUGUCCCACCGGCCAUGGGAGCCCACAGUCAGCCCGUGUGCAUGAUGCUCUGUGGCUGCGUGUGCCCUACAGCAGCACGGUUCAGUAGGCAGAGGCCACUUCUACUACCCGGCUAAGGAAAAGAUGGGCAGAGCCUGCUCUGGAUGACGCUGUGUUCCAGCCGGCGGAGAGGGUCCCCCAUUUCCUCGGAACUAAUCCUCCAGGAAAUUAACAGACAGUUUGCUGUGGACAACUAGAGCCCUCCCCUUCCUUAGCCCUGAGCGAGGUAAACAAUUCUGCUCUGCCUUCCGGAAGUUUCAAAUUAGCUCUUCAACCAGCGUUUUCACGCAGCUUCCAGUCCUGCCACAGUCUUGAAGAAGAGAUCAGCUUUCGCGUCUUCAUUCUUGCCAAGAUUAGCUGCCCUUCGAAUCUCCCGUGUGUCAUUAAUCCCAGCACGAACAAGCACUUGGGAACUGCGGGCUGCAGAUGGUCUGCUUAUCCUACGGAACCCUCCUCUUUUGAGGCUUAACCCCUUUAGUCUUUGUUGCUUCUGUAGCUUUCUGAUGCCAUUAAAGAGAUGAUUUUUAUA